AUACGAGGGGGGCUAGCGUUGUCCGGAAUCAUUGGGUGUAAAGGGCUCGUAGGCGGGCCAGACAGUUGGGAUUUAAAUACCACGGCUUAACCGUGGAACUGGUCUCAAUACUACUGGUCUUGAGUGUGGCAGAGGAUGAUGGAAUUCCUGGUGUAGUGGUGGAAUGCGUAGAUAUCAGGAGGAACACCGAUGGCGAAGGCAGUCAUCUGGGCCAACACUGACGCUGAGGAGCGAAAGCGUGGGGAGCAAACAGGAUUAGAAACCCCGGUAGUCC
rnacentral:rRNA from 1 species